rnacentral:rRNA from 1 species
AAGCGAAUUUUAGUUUGAACCCCCGAAACUAAGUGAGCUACUUCGAAACAGUUUUAAGAACAAACCCAUCUCUGUAGCAAUAGAGUGGGAUGAUUUCCAAGUAGAGGUGACAAGCCUACCGCACUUAGAGAUAGCUGGUUGCUCAAGAAAAGAAUUUAAGUUCAACCUUAAGUUUACUAAUUGCAAGAAAAACAAACAAAACUUAAGAGCCACUCAAACAAGGCACAGCUUGUUUGAAACAGGAUACAACCUUAAACAUUGGGUAAUAAUUAAGAACCGACACUAAGUGGGCCUAAAAGCAGCCACCUCUUGAAAAGCGUUAAAGCUUAAUAUCUAUUCUACCCUAAUCCCUUCACAUACCUUUAACCCAUCAACCAUAUUGAGUAAUUCCAUAAGCUUAUGGAAGAUAUAAUGCUAGAACUAGUAACAAGAAAACCCUUUCUCCAAAAUGUAAGCCUGAGCCAUUAUUGAUGUACUACUGGCAAUUACCGCGAAUGAACGCACUAUAGUAACCUAAACAAGAAAACCCUAUAAACCCCAACGUCAACCUUACACUAGAACACUUAUGGAAAGAUUAAAAGAAAAAGAGGGAACUCGGCAAAAUUUUACCCCGCCUGUUUAC